AAACGAUUGAAGUCAGUCGUGUCUUGAGGGGUUCACUCGUCUUCUGGCGGGGUAUUCCCUUCUUGAUGGGUCAACAUCAGUUAAAUUCGGUGGAUAAGAGCAGUAAGAAUGUAGCUCCCCCGGGAGUGUUAUAGCUUACUGUUGCAUACACUGGGCUUGACUGAGGACCGCAGCUCGCCGUAAGGCUUGGCUUUGGCCAAAUACGAGCUUAGGAUGUUGGCAUAAUGGCUUUAAACGA
rnacentral:rRNA from 1 species